AUUGAACGCUGGCGGUAUGCUUAAGACAUGCAAGUCGAACGGUAACAGGUUAAGCUGACGAGUGGCGGACGAGUGAGUAACGCGUGGGAAUCUACCUUGUAGUGGGGGAUAAGCCAGGGAAACUUGGACUAAUACCGCAUACGCCCUAAGGGGAAAGGCGCAAGUCGCUAUAAGAUGGGCCCGCGUCUGAUUAGGUAGUUGGUGGGGUAAAGGCCUACCAAGCCGACGAUCAGUAGCUGGUCUGAGAGGAUGAUCAGCCACGUCGGGACUGAGACACGGCCCGGACUCCUACGGGAGGCAGCAGUCGGGAAUAUUGGACAAUGGGGGAAACCCUGAUCCAGCAAUACCGCGUGUGUGAAGAAGGCCUGCGGGUUGUAAAGCACUUUCAGUUGGGAAGAUAAUGACGUUACCAACAGAAGAAGCACCGGCUAACUCCGUGCCAGCAGCCGCGGUAAGGUGCGCGAGU
rnacentral:rRNA from 1 species